AACCCAAAGAAUUUGGCGGUGUUUUAUUCUUUUCAGAGGAACUUGCUUCGUAAUCGAUAGUCCUCGUUAUAUCUUACUUAAUUUAUUUUAGUAUGUAUACCGCCGUUAUAAGUUUAUUUUUCUAGAACUAAUUUACUUUUAAUUUAAUUAUAUUUUAUUUCAGGUCAAGGUGCAGCUUAUAAUUGAGUGAAAGUUAGUUACAAUAUUAUUUGAGUAAAUGGAUUUUUUUUUUAAUUUUAAAAUGAAAGUGGAUUUGUUAGUAAUUUUAUUAAUAUAAUUAUUAUGAUUUUAGCCCUAAAACAAGUACACAUCGCCCGUCGCUCUA
rnacentral:rRNA from 1 species